rnacentral:rRNA from 1 species
GGGGAAUUUCCGCAAUGGGCGAAAGCCUGACGGAGCAAUACCGCGUGAGGGAGGAAGGCUCUUGGGUCGUAAACCUCUUUUCUCAGGGAAGAACACAAUGACGGUACCUGAGGAAUAAGCAUCGGCUAACUCCGUGCCAGCAGCCGCGGUAAUACGGAGGAUGCAAGCGUUAUCCGGAAUGAUUGGGCGUAAAGCGUCCGCAGGUGGCAAUGUAAGUCUGCUGUUAAAGAGUGAGGCUCAACCUCAUAAGAGCAGUGGAAACUACAUAGCUAGAGUACGUUCGGGGCAGAGGGAAUUCCUGGUGUAGCGGUGAAAUGCGUAGAUAUCUGGAGGAACACCGGUGGCGAAGGCGGCAUCCUGGACCAACACUGACGCUGAAUAGCGAAAGCCAGGGGAGCAAAAGGGAUUAGAUACCCCUGUAGUC